AGCCCUAGUCGUGUUCUAGUUUUUGUGUGUUAAUCAACACAAGCCCUACUGCACCUGCCACUCUCCGUUCUCAUCUCAGCUCCUGGUUCGCCCUCGACUCACUUCUGCAAGCGAAUCACUUCAUUCUCUGGCGUUGGCAGCUAAAAUCAAGCGAGAUGGGGAUAAUCGAGAAGAUCAAAGAAAUCGAAGCCGAGAUGGCUCGAAACCAGAAAAAUAAAGCUACGGGUUCUUGUAUCAUAUAUGUCUCACAUUUAUAUGUGCAUAAAAGCAUACUGAUUAUAGUGUAUUUCAUGUCCACGUUUAGUUGAAGCUAUCGAAUUCCUACUCUUUGAUAUUGAAGUGAAUUUUAUUGAGUUUUUGUUUGUGUGGAAUUAACAUGCAGAUUAUCAUCUUGGUCAGCUCAAGGCAAAGAUAGCAAAGCUAAGGACACAAUUGUUGGAGCCUCCUAAAGUAUGCAACUUUCUUAUGCACUCCUCUCUCUCUAACAUGAACUUGCGCAAUGUUUGAGAUGGGUUCUAGUGGAGGUGUAGAUGGUUUUGAAGUUAUGAAAUAUUGCCAUGGACGUGUUGCACUGAUAGGAUUUCCAAGGCAUGCCAACUUUAUUUGCAAAUUUUACAUUUUUGUGUGUGUAUAAUGCAUGUGCACACUCAUGCAAGAAACAUAAUAGACUGGUUCGGAGCUAUUGACACUUUGGAAUGCAUCCUUUACCUUCACUAUACGGGUUAUGCUAGGUGACUUCAAUAGAAAAAUAUAAUUCUCAGUGGGAUUUCCAAUGUAAUAGCGAACUACGUAUUGCCUUAUUUCUGGGAAUCUUUCUUUGUAAGGUCCUUAAAUUUAUAAGAGAUUAAUGUCGAUCUACCACUAUUAUUUCCGUGUACAUGUACACAUGACAAUGCUGACAAUUAAAAUUGUAUUCGUAUUCUGAAUGCAAUGUCGGGAAAUCAACUCUCUUGACAAUGUUAACUGGCACUCACUCAGAAGCUGCAUCAUAUGAGUUCACAACACUUACCUGUAUUCCUGGUAUUAUACACUAUAAUGAUACUAAAAUUCAGUUGCUUGACCUUCUGGGAAUUAUUGAAGGUGCUUCAGAAGGCAAGGGUCGUGGGAGACAGGUUAUUGCUGUUUCCAAGUCUUCAGACAUUGUGUUGAUGGUUCUUGAUACCUCAAAAGCAAGUGUUUAUGUACCCUAUAUGGUGUUUUGCCGCUGAUGCAAGCUGAUGAAUGGAUACAAUGGCUAGACAUUUUUGUUCUCUGUCCUUUCAAAUAUGAUUGUCUGUUGUGGAAUUCUUGCAUUUUUAAAUGUACUUCGAUUCAUUUUCCCUUAAAAGAGGAUUAGUGUUGUUCAGCAACUAGUAGGUGUCAUGGUCAAGCUGCUUCCUAUCUGUUUCCACUGUCAUUUUCAUUUUAAAAUUAUUUAAUAAAAAAAAAUGCUUCAUCAUUUUACUGCAGAUUCCUUGCUAGGAAAGAAUAUGUUGUUCGUCGUUUGCUGGUUUCAUGCAAGUGUGUGUGCGGUUUUUUCCUUUUUUCAUUCUACUGCAUAAACAAUUUUUUUUACAUCAGUUAACCUGUUUGCAAAUGAUUAUAGAGUGAGGGGCAUCAACAAAUAUUGACAAGGGAACUGGAAGCUGUGGGCUUGUGCUUAACCAAGAGACCACCUCAAAUUUACUUCAAGAAGAAAAAAACUGGUGGCAUCUCUUUCAACAGCACUGUACCUGUAACUCAUGUGGAUGAGAAGCGUUGUUAUCAGAUUUUACAUGAAUACAAAAUUCACAAUGCAGAGGUGCUAUUUCGUGAGGAUGCCACAGUUGAUGAUCUCAUUGAUGUUAAUGAGGGUAACCGCAAAUACAUGAAAUGUAUAUAUGUUUACAACAAGAUAGAUGUUAUUGGUAUUGAUGAUGUGGACAAGUUAGCUCGCCAACCAAAUUCUAUUGUCAUUAGCUGCAAUUUGAAGGCAGGUUCUGCAUAUCUUUUUAUCUCUGUUAAAUUUUGGUGCUAAUAUGUAACAUGUGGCAGCAACAGAACAUAAAGACAUCCAUCCCAAUUCCACAUUUUUUUGUUCACAAAAACUGAUUCUGGGUUUCAUGAGUUGCGUGCCUUUGCGAAGUGUGUGUCUUGUUGUUUAUGUUGCCCAAAGAAUAUUAUCAUGGUGUCAAAUGUCCAUUUGAAAGAUUAAACCAACUUUUGUGCUCAAAAUUGCCAAAUGAUCUGAAUGUCUCAAGAAACCUUGAUUUUGUUUUUCUCAUGUUUCUGAAACAGCUCAACUUGGACAGAUUACUUGCAAAGAUUUGGGAAGAAAUGGGGCUAGUGAGAGUCUACACAAAACCACAAGGAUAGAGGUGGCUGCUCAGUUGAGGACUUCUGUAAUCACAUACACAGGAGUUUAGUGAAGGACGUGAAAUAUGUGCUAGUGUGGGGCUUGAGUGCACGACACUACCCUCAACACCGUGGCCUUGGUCAUGUUCUCCAAGAUGAGGAUGUGGUUCAAAUUGUUAAGAAAAAGGUGAUGAAUGCUUAGUAAUUUGAUUGUACAAAAAUUCAGUGCAGGACUUUGCGUUGCCAUUUUGGCCACAUUUCUUGAAAUUCAAGAUUUAGGAAAUAAACAAGCGUUUAAUUUUUCUCUUUCCUUUUUCGUGGACUUAGAGAUGUCCUUGUUCUCAUUUAUAGUUGUUUUAAGUCCUGUAUAAGCUAUUGCAUUUUGCCGGGAAAAGGAAGAUGGAGGCAGGGGUCGAUUCAAAUCACAUUCAACAGCUCAUGCUCGAAUAUCUGACAGAGAAAAGAAAGCUCCCUUGAAGACAUAACGACUUCAUUUGGCAUUGGUGUGGGCUUUUGGAUCUUGUGCUUCAAUGAAUGAAAUACUAGUGGCAGAGGGUGACUGCUAAAUUGGCUGUGGUCAUAGAUAAUUAUGUUGUAAUUUUGAUAAACCCUUUUGGUGGUCUUCUUAUUUACAUAGUCGGAAAGCUGUAUUUUAAGAGAUGUUCAUGAGUUUUAGAAUUAUAAUGACAUUUGAAUCAUUUAUAUGCAAACUUUUAUAAUCUCAGGAAUGUAUAAGAGGUAGAGAGUAU
rnacentral:misc_RNA from 1 species